AAUUUGCCCUUGCAAAUGAUUCCAUGAAAGGUCAAUCAAAUGCAAUUGAGUAGCAUUUCCAAGCUCGGGUGGUAUGCUACCAGAGAUAUUGUUGUUCGAAAAUUUUAGGCUUGCGAUGUUUUUCCACUGUCCCAAUUUCCCUGAAAGCUCCCCAUGCAAUCUAUUGUUACUCAAAUCCAUGUAAUUCAAAUGUGGGUAUAUCCCUAAAUCUUCUGAA
rnacentral:misc_RNA from 1 species